UACACAUAUCAUUUGUUUCCAACUAAGUUCAAAUGGCUAAUCUAUUCACUUAAUGUUAAGUGGCUCCUUCAAUCCUUGGAAUUAAAAUAUUUUACAUUCAAAAUUAAAAAGAACUCCAAUUUUCCUGAUUCUUUCUCUACUACUACUUUUAAAAUGAGAACUUCUAAAGUCAACAUUCUUUAUUUUAAACUUAAUUUCAGACCCAAUAAAGAUGGUUUUCCCAUAAAACAUAAAAUGUAAAUGUUAAAUGCUAUGAAAAUAUACUCGUUGGAUUCAUCAACAUAACUACUGAAAAUAUUAGUAACCAUCACACUUUAGAUUCAGUCACAGAAAAGAUUCUUUCUUUCUUUCCAAAAAAGAAAAAAAAAGAAA